UUAUAUUCUAAUAAGAUAAUUUGAGAUCUAUAUAAACUCUGGAACCUUGUACUCUUCUGCAUCCUCAUUUUUGAAACACAACUAGCUGAGUAUCAAAUCAUCCAUUUACUUGAGCUCCUUUAACAUGAAGAAGAACCCUCCACAGCAUGUUCCAGUUUCAGAAGUUCCCAGCAGGAACAGUUUCAGAAACACAAAAUCAUCUCUGAAAAGAGGACAGAUUAAAUCCAAGAUAGUGGUUAGUGUUUUUCAUUUCAUUGCCUCCAUAAUUUGUUCAGUCUCAUCAGCUGGAGGUCUGCAUUAAAAACAUAGCUUGAAGCACGGCUGAAUGAUGUACAAGGAUUUCGAUGUAUGCAUUAAGAAGUAGAUACUUUGUUUUUCAUUUUUCUCUUUUUAACUAAUAUUAUAUAUUAUUAUUUGUGAUGGAAGAGUUUCCUAUUUUAGGUUCAAAAGGGUUUUAUUUUUUGCAUGCA
rnacentral:lncRNA from 1 species